UUUUUUUUUUUUUUUUUUUUUUUUUUUUUGCCUC
rnacentral:ribozyme from 13 species